rnacentral:rRNA from 1 species
AGCAACAAAUGCCCUGCUUCCAGGAAAAGCCUCUAAGCAUCAGGUAACAUCAAAUCGUACCCCAAACCGACACAGGUGGUCAGGUAGAGAAUACCAAGGCGCUUGAGAGAACUCGGGUGAAGGAACUAGGCAAAAUGGUGCCGUAACUUCGGGAGAAGGCACGCUGACACGUAGGUGAAGUGAUUUACUCAUGGAGCUGAAGUCAGUCGAAGAUACCAGCUGGCUGCAACUGUUUAUUAAAAACACAGCACUGUGCAAACACGAAAGUGGACGUAUACGGUGUGACGCCUGCCCGGUGCCGGAAGGUUAAUUGAUGGGGUCAGCGCAAGCGAAGCUCCUGAUCGAAGCCCCGGUAAACGGCGGCCGUAACUAUAACGGUCCUAAGGUAGCGAAAUUCCUUGUCGGGUAAGUUCCGACCUGCACGAAUGGCGUAAUGAUGGCCAGGCUGUCUCCACCCGAGACUCAGUGAAAUUGAACUCGCUGUGAAGAUGCAGUGUACCCGCGGCAAGACGGAAAGACCCCGUGAACCUUUACUAUAGCUUGACACUGAACAUUGAGCCUUGAUGUGUAGGAUAGGUGGGAGGCUUUGAAGCGUGGACGCCAGUCUGCGUGGAGCCAACCUUGAAAUACCACCCUUUAAUGUUUGAUGUUCUAACGUGGACCCGUAAUCCGGGUUGCGGACAGUGUCUGGUGGGUAGUUUGACUGGGGCGGUCUCCUCCUAAAGAGUAACGGAGGAGCACGAAGGUUGGCUAAUCCUGGUCGGACAUCAGGAGGUUAGUGCAAUGGCAUAAGCCAGCUUGACUGCGAGCGUGACGGCGCGAGCAGGUGCGAAAGCAGGUCAUAGUGAUCCGGUGGUUCUGAAUGGAAGGGCCAUCGCUCAACGGAUAAAAGGUACUCCGGGGAUAACAGGCUGAUACCGCCCAAGAGUUCAUAUCGACGGCGGUGUUUGGCACCUCGAUGUCGGCUCAUCACAUCCUGGGGCUGAAGUAGGUCCCAAGGGUAUGGCUGUUCGCCAUUUAAAGUGGUACGCGAGCUGGGUUUAGAACGUCGUGAGACAGUUCGGUCCCUAUCUGCCGUGGGCGCUGGAGAACUGAGGGGGGCUGCUCCUAGUACGAGAGGACCGGAGUGGACGCAUCACUGGUGUUCGGGUUGUCAUGCCAAUGGCACUGCCCGGUAGCUAAAUGCGGAAGAGAUAAGUGCUGAAAGCAUCUAAGCACGAAACUUGCCCCGAGAUGAGUUCUCCCUGAGACUUAGAGUCUCCUGAAGGAACGUUGAAGACGACGACGUUGAUAGGCCGGGUGUGUAAGCGCAGCGAUGCGUUGAGCUAACCGGUACUAAUGAACCGUGAGGCUUAACCUUACAACGCCGAAG